rfam:Salmo salar isolate Sally breed double haploid chromosome ssa11, whole genome shotgun sequence.
UCCACGCAUGAAUGGAAGUCACUUUGGAUAAAAGUGUUUGCUAAAUGGCAUAUA